rnacentral:rRNA from 1 species
UACGUAGGGUGCGAGCGUUGUCCGGAUUUAUUGGGCGUAAAGAGCUCGUAGGCGGUCUGUCGCGUCGAAUGUGAAAGCCCAGGGCUCAACCCUGGGUCUGCAUUCGAUACGGGCAGACUAGAGUAUGGCAGGGGAGACUGGAAUUCCUGGUGUAGUGGUGGAAUGCGUAGAUAUCGGGAGGAACACCAGUGGCGAAGGCGGUUGCCUGGGGCUUUGCUGACGCUGAUGCGCGAAAGCGUGGGGAGCGAUCCGG